CCUACGGGAGGCAGCAGUGAGGAAUAUUGGUCAAUGGCCGCAGGUCUGAACCAGCCAAGUAGCGUGAAGGAUGACUGCCCUAUGGAUUGUAAACUUCUUUUGUAUGGGCAUAAAGCACGGCACGCAUGGCGUCUUGUGUGUACCAUAUGAAUAAGGAUCGGCUAACUCCGUGCCAGCAGCCGCGGCAAUACGGAGGGUUCGAGCGUUAUCCGGAUUUAUUGGGUUUAAAGGGAGCGUCGGUGGAAUGUUAAGUCAGUUGUGAAAUUUUGGGGGUCAACCGUCAGAUUGCAGUUGAAACUGGCGGUCUUGAGUACACGAGAGGUGUGCGGAAUGCGUGGUGUAGCGGUGAAAUGCUUAGAUAUCACGAAGAACUCCGAUUGCGAAUGCAGCUCACCGGCGUGCAACUGACACUGAUGCUCGAAAGUGUGGGUAUCGAACAGGAUUAGAUACCCUUGUAGUC
rnacentral:rRNA from 1 species